rnacentral:rRNA from 1 species
UACGGAGGGUGCGAGCGUUGUCCGGAAUCAUUGGGCGUAAAGGGCGCGUAGGUGGCCCGGUCAGUUCGUGGUGAAAGCGCGGGGCUCAACCCUGCGUCGGCCAUGAAUACUGCCGCGGCUGGAGCACUGUAGAGGCAGGCGGAAUUCCGGGUGUAGCGGUGGAAUGCGUAGAGGAUCCGGAAGAACACCGGUGGCGAAGGCGGCCUGACUGG